CGCUUUUUUGCCCAGGAGCUCGACCGCAAACUCAAAUCCUGAGAGAUUUUAUCGACUGGCACCGCAACACCUUCGGGGUUGAGCCGAUCUGCAAGGCAUUGCAGAUCGCCCCG
rnacentral:ncRNA from 1 species